UACGUAGGGAGCAAGCGUUGUCCGGAAUCAUUGGGCGUAAAGCGCGCGUAGGUGGCUUCGUAAGUCCGUUGUGAAAGUCAAAGGCUCAACCUUUGAAAGCCGAUGGAUACUGUGAAGCUAGAGUACGGAAGAGGCGAGUGGAAUUCCUGGUGUAGCGGUGGAAUGCGCAGAUAUCAGGAGGAACACCAAUAGCGAAGGCAGCUCGCUGGGACGUUACUGACACUGAGGAGCGAAAGCGUGGGGAGCAAACAGG
rnacentral:rRNA from 1 species